rfam:Lysinimicrobium mangrovi strain DSM 24868 genome assembly, contig: Ga0111703_107
GGAGAGUUGACCGAGCGGCCGAAGGUGACAGUCUUGAAAACUGUUGAGGCGUAACCCGUCUCCGCGGGUUCGAAUCCCGCACUCUCCG